rnacentral:rRNA from 1 species
GGAUUGGGAUAUAUUGGUCGUGCUUUUAGGGGCAUGAAUCGGUGUGUAGCCAAUUUCUUACCUUCUGGUGAAUUGGGAUGCUUCUUAAUUGGGUGUUUCAAUGAACUAGGACCUUUACUUUGAAAAAAUUAGAGUGUUUAAAGCGGGCAUUUUGCUUGAAUACAUUAGCAUGGAAUAAUAAAAUAGGACGGCAUGAUUCUAUUUUGUUGGUUUCUAGGAUC